rnacentral:rRNA from 1 species
UGGGGAAUAUUGGACAAUGGGCGAAAGCCUGAUCCAGCCAUGCCGCGUGUGUGAAGAAGGUCUUCGGAUUGUAAAGCACUUUAAGUUGGGAGGAAGGGCAUUAACCUAAUACGUUAGUGUUUUGACGUUACCGACAGAAUAAGCACCGGCUAACUCUGUGCCAGCAGCCGCGGUAAUACAGAGGGUGCAAGCGUUAAUAGGAAUUACUGGGCGUAAAGCGCGCGUAGGUGGUUUGUUAAGUUGGAUGUGAAAGCCCCGGGCUCAACCUGGGAACUGCAUCCAAAACUGGCAAGCUAGAGUACGGUAGAGGGUGGUGGAAUUUCCUGUGUAGCGGUGAAAUGCGUAGAUAUAGGAAGGAACACCAGUGGCGAAGGCGACCACCUGGACUGAUACUGACACUGAGGUGCGAAAGCGUGGGGAGCAAACA